CCCAGCUGUGUGUCUACGAAGAGUGAUGGGUCCAUGGGACAAUCAACUUCAGAGAAGGAGACAGAGACCAACAGGACAUUUCAAAGUCAGAGACCCUCAAUGAUCAGUCUACCCAGAGUCAGCUAACAGACCUCUCCUCCAUAUUCAAGUUGCUUGAGCAACAUAUCAUCAGUUUUGUGAAAAGUGAGCUGAAGAGGUGGAAGAGGCUUCUGACUCCAGAUUACCCAGACAGCUUUGACAGUCAGGAGGAAGAUCAGGAAGUGGUGGAUGCUGAACAUCAGGAGAGCAGAGCCAGAGCGGAGACUCUGAAUAUCACACUGCACAUCCUGAGGAACAUGAACCAGAAGGAACUUGCUGAUACACUUGAG
rnacentral:lncRNA from 1 species